GUCCACUCCUGCUGCUGCGAGAGACAACGAGCAGACAGAUGAUGUGACUUACUCUGAAGUCUCUUGUUCCAGUAAAAAGCCAGUAAAAUCACUCAAAGAUCAAGAUGAUUCAGUGACUUACGCUGCCAUCAGAGGAACAGAAAAUGAGCCGCUGGGUGAACUUUACGCCACUGUGAACAAGAACAAGAGCUGCACAAAUCUAGGUUCAUGAUACAGAUCACUGCAUGAGCUCCUCGUAUCAGCAGCAGAUGUGACGUUUCCACGACUGCUGAGAUUCACGAUAUAUUUGGAAGAAUUAUACGAAACAUAUGUCAGAUAUUUGUUGAAUUGAAAAGCAAAAUGCUGUAAAAAAAAAAAAAAAA